rnacentral:rRNA from 1 species
AAACUUCACACUGGGGGAAACCCCGAUGAGGGAAAUCCUAGUGCUAGGACAUUUGUUCUAGCUUUUCUCAAGCGUAGAUAACUUGAGGAAUAAGGGCUGGGUAAGACGGGUGCCAGCCGCCGCGGUAAUACCUGCAGCCCAAGUGGUGGUCGAUUUUAUUGAGUCUAAAACGUUCGUAGCCGGUUUGAUAAAUCUUUGGGUAAAUCGGGAGGCUUAACUUUCCGACUUCCGAAGAGACUGUCGAACUUGGGACCGGGAGAGGCUAGAGGUACUUCUGGGGUAGGGGUAAAAUCCUGUAAUCCUAGAAGGACCACCGGUGGCGAAGGCGUCUAGCUAGAACGGAUCCGACGGUGAGGGACGAAGCCCUGGGUCGCAAACGGGAUUAGAUACCCCGGUAGUCCAGGGUGUAAACGCUGCAGACUUGGUGUUGGAGGCCAUCGGUGGCAUUCAGUGCCGGAGAGAAGUUGUUAAGUCUGCUACUUGGGGAGUAGUCCGCAAGGAUGAAACUUAAGGAAUUG